GGUUAAGCGACUAAGCGUACACGGUGGAUGCCCUGGCAGUCAGAGGCGAUGAAGGACGUGCUAAUCUGCGAAAAGCGUCGGUAAGGUGAUAUGAACCGUUAUAACCGGCGAUGUCCGAAUGGGGAAACCCAGUGUGAUUCGUCACACUAUCGUUAACUGAAUACAUAGGUUAACGAGGCGAACCGGGGGAACUGAAACAUCUAAGUACCCCGAGGAAAAGAAAUCAACCGAGAUUCCCCCAGUAGCGGCGAGCGAACGGGGAGCAGCCCAGAGUCUGAAUCAGCUUGUGUGUUAGUGGAACGGUCUGGAAAGUCCGACGGUACAGGGUGAUAGUCCCGUACACCAAAAUGCACAGGCUGUGAACUCGAAGAGUAGGGCGGGACACGUGGUAUCCUGUCUG
rnacentral:rRNA from 1 species